rnacentral:rRNA from 1 species
AUUGAACGCUGGCGGCAGGCCUAACACAUGCAAGUCGAACGAGUGGCGGACGGGUGAGUAAUGUCUGGGAAACUGCCUGAUGGAGGGGGAUAACUACUGGAAACGGUAGCUAAUACUGCAUACCAUCAGAUGUGCCCAGAUGGGUUUAGCUAGUAGGUGGGGUAACGGCCCACCUAGGCGCCGAUCCCUAGCUGGUCUGAGAGGAUGACCAGCAACACUGGAACUGAGACAGGGUCCAGACUCCGACGGGAGGCAGCAGUGGGGAAUAUUGGACAAUGGGCGCAGGCCUGAUGCAGCCAUGCCGGGUGGAUGAAGAAGGCCUUCGGGUGGUAAAGUACUUUCAGCGGGGAGGCGUUACCCGCAGAAGAAGCACCGGCUAACUCCGUGCCAGCAGCCGCGGUAAUUC